rfam:Haemonchus contortus, ISE/inbred ISE, WGS project CAVP01000000 data, contig: Hcontortus_43151
CACCGCUCUCCAGCUCCGUGUGAGGUUGUUCUACUCAAUGCGGCGUUUCAAUGAGCGAAUAACAAAGAACGCUGACGAUUAUUGAUAUUUCUCUAUGGAAUAUCGAUCACUUAAGGCUUCGUACAAAU